AGAGUUUGAUCCUGGCUCAGGACGAACGCUGGCGGCGUGCCUAAUACAUGCAAGUAGAACGCUGAAGAGAGGAGCUUGCUCUUCCUGGAUGAGUUGCGAACGGGUGAGUAACGCGUAGGUAACCUGCCUUGUAGCGGGGGAUAACUAUUGGAAACGAUAGCUAAUACCGCAUAACAAUGGAUGACACAUGUCAUUUAUUUGAAAGGGGCAAUUGUUCCACUACAAGAUGGACCUGCGUUGUAUUAGCUAGUAGGUGAGGUAAUGGCUCACCUAGGCGACGAUACAUAGCCGACCUGAGGGGUGAUCGGCCACACUGGGACUGAGACACGGCCCAGACUCCUACGGGAGGCAGCAGUAGGGAAUCUUCGGCAAUGGGGGCAACCCUGACCGAGCAACGCCGCGUGAGUGAAGAAGGUUUUCGGAUCGUAAAGCUCUGUUGUAAGUCAAGAACGGGUGUGAGAGUGGAAAGUUCACACUGUGACGGUAGCUUACCAGAAAGGGACGGCUAACUACGUGCCAGCAGCCGCGGUAAUACGUAGGUCCCGAGCGUUGUCCGGAUUUAUUGGGCGUAAAGCGAGCGCAGGCGGUUUGAUAAGUCUGAAGUUAAAGGCUGUGGCUCAACCAUAGUUCGCUUUGGAAACUGUCAAACUUGAGUGCAGAAGGGGAGAGUGGAAUUCCAUGUGUAGCGGUGAAAUGCGUAGAUAUAUGGAGGAACACCGGUGGCGAAAGCGGCUCUCUGGUCUGUAACUGACGCUGAGGCUCGAAAGCGUGGGGAGCGAACAGGAUUAGAUACCCUGGUAGUCCACGCCGUAAACGAUGAGUGCUAGGUGUUGGAUCCUUUCCGGGAUUCAGUGCCGCAGCUAACGCAUUAAGCACUCCGCCUGGGGAGUACGACCGCAAGGUUGAAACUCAAAGGAAUUGACGGGGGCCCGCACAAGCGGUGGAGCAUGUGGUUUAAUUCGAAGCAACGCGAAGAACCUUACCAGGUCUUGACAUCCCGAUGCUAUUUCUAGAGAUAGAAAGUUACUUCGGUACAUCGGUGACAGGUGGUGCAUGGUUGUCGUCAGCUCGUGUCGUGAGAUGUUGGGUUAAGUCCCGCAACGAGCGCAACCCCUAUUGUUAGUUGCCAUCAUUCAGUUGGGCACUCUAGCGAGACUGCCGGUAAUAAACCGGAGGAAGGUGGGGAUGACGUCAAAUCAUCAUGCCCCUUAUGACCUGGGCUACACACGUGCUACAAUGGUUGGUACAACGAGUUGCGAGUCGGUGACGGCGAGCUAAUCUCUUAAAGCCAAUCUCAGUUCGGAUUGUAGGCUGCAACUCGCCUACAUGAAGUCGGAAUCGCUAGUAAUCGCGGAUCAGCACGCCGCGGUGAAUACGUUCCCGGGCCUUGUACACACCGCCCGUCACACCACGAGAGUUUGUAACACCCGAAGUCGGUGAGGUAACCUUUUGGAGCCAGCCGCCUAAGGUGGGACAGAUGAUUGGGGUGAAGUCGUAACAAGGUA
rnacentral:rRNA from 1 species